rnacentral:lncRNA from 1 species
AUAACACAUAGAGUUAGGAGGGGCUAGUCCUCUGUGUGUUCAACCUCUUUGGAAGGUCAGGUUUUCUUUGCGUUUGUGUGUGCUCUUGUCACACAUAAAUCAUUGCUGUGAAUUAACAAUGGGAGUCUCUGUGUGAUCUUUGAUUUAGAAAGACCUGGUAUAUCAACAGUAAUUCCUGCUGGUAAUUUACUGUGCGUUGUGCUAAUGAGAGGCGUGUGUGGGGGCGGGGGGAGUUAUCUCUCUCUCAGUAAUAAGUGUGUUCAAUAAGAGGGGGAGGUGAAGGGGUGAGUUAGCUAAUGGAUUUUAGAGAGGCAGAGAUGGAGGGAUGGAUUUCACCUGCUGUGAACGGAGAGAUGGAGAGGUGGAGGAGGUCUGUGAACUGAGAGAUGAAGAGGGGGAGGAGGUCUGUGAACUGAGAGAUGAAGAGGGGGAGAAGGUCUGUGAACGGAGAGAUGAAGAGGACAUGUAGAACACCUACCUUUAUUGUUUAGCUGGAAUGAAAAACACCAGAUAGAUAGCCUGUUCUCUCUCUCUCUUUAUCUCUCUCUCUCUCCCGCUCUCUCUUUCCCAUCUGACAAUGAAAGUGACUAGAGAACUUUUACUAAUGAUAAAAACGAAACAAUUAACGGUAAUAUGUUUAUUUAUUUAUCAAAAGGUAGAAAGCAUACUGUAUAUUUGAACGAUAAGUUAUAAAAAUGUAGGUACUGUAAUGAUAAAAGAAUUGUAUGGUAAACAAUCAAAACCGUUAACCUUUUUUCACACUGUGUUAAGAACUUAAUAGGAUAGAUGUAGAAAGAUAGAACUCUAUAGGGAUAGAUGUAGAAAGAUAGAACUCAAUAGGGAUAGAUGUAGAAAGAUAGAACUCUAUAGGAGAUAUGUAGAAAGAUAGAACUCUAUAGGGAUAGAUGUAGAAAGAUAGAACUCAAUAGGGAUAGAUGUAGAAAGAUAGAACUCCAUAGGGAUAGACGUAGAAAGAUAUAACUCUAUAGGGAUAGAUGUAGAAAGAUAGAACUCAAUAGGGAUAGAUAUAGAAAGAUAGAACUCUACAGGGAUAGAUGUAGAAAGAUAGAACUCAAUAGGGAUAGAUAUAGAAAGAUAGAACUCAAUAGGGAUAGAUGUAGAAAGAUAGAACUCAAUAGGGAUAGAUGUAGAAAGAUAGAACUCUAUAGGGAUAGAUGUAGAAAGAUAG